rnacentral:rRNA from 1 species
UACAUCGGUGACAGGUGGUGCAUGGUUGUCGUCAGCUCGUGUCGUGAGAUGUUGGGUUAAGUCCCGCAACGAGCGCAACCCCUAUUGUUAGUUGCCAUCAUUCAGUUGGGCACUCUAGCGAGACUGCCGGUAAUAAACCGGAGGAAGGUGGGGAUGACGUCAAAUCAUCAUGCCCCGUAUGACCUGGGCUACACACGUGCUACAAUGGUUGGUACAACGAGUUGCGAGUCGGUGACGGCGAGCUAAUCUCUUAAAGCCAAUCUCAGCUCGGAUUGUAGGCUGCAACUCGCCUACAUGAAGUCGGAAUCGCUAGUAAUCGUGGAUCAGAAUGCCACGGUGAAUACGUUCCCGGGCCUU